CGCGUAGGCGGUUUGUUAAGUCAGCUGUGAAAGCCCCGGGCUCAACCUGGGAAUUGCAGUUGAUACUGACCGACUAGAGUACGAGAGAGGGAGGUAGAAUUCCACGUGUAGCGGUGAAAUGCGUAGAUAUGUGGAGGAAUACCGGUGGCGAAGGCGGCCUCCUGGCUCGAUACUGACGCUGAGGUGCGAAAGCGUGGGGAGCAAACA
rnacentral:rRNA from 1 species